CCUACGGGUGGCACCAGUGGGGAAUCUUUCACAAUGGACGCAAGUCUGAUGAAGCAACGCCGCGUGAGUGAGGAAGGCCUUUUAGGUUGUAAAGCUCUGUUGCCGGGGAAGAAAGUUAGUGUAAGGAAAUGUGCAUUAAUUGACGGUACCUGGUGAGGAAGCACUGGCUAACUACGUGCCAGCAGCCGCGGUAACACGUAGAGUGCAAGCGUUGUCCGGAAUCAUUGGGCGUAAAGGGUACGCAGGCGGAUAUACAAGUCAAAUGUGAAAGGUGUAGGCUCAACCUACAGACUGCGUUUGAAACUGUAUAUCUUGAGAGCAGCAGAGGAAGGCGGAAUUCCUGGUGUAGUGGUGAAAUACGUAGAUAUCAGGAAGAACACCAGUGGCGAAGGCGGUCUUCUGGGCUGUAUCUGACGCUCAUGUACGAAAGCUGGGGUAGCGAACGGGAUUAGAUACCCUUGUAGUC
rnacentral:rRNA from 1 species